rnacentral:rRNA from 1 species
UACGUAGGGUGCGAGCGUUAAUCGGAAUUACUGGGCGUAAAGCGUGCGCAGGCGGUUCGUUGUGUCGGCGGUGAAAUCCCCGGGCUCAACCUGGGAAUGGCCGGUGAAACUGGCGAACUGGAGUGUGGCAGAGGGGGGUGGAAUUCCGCGUGUAGCAGUGAAAUGCGUAGAGAUGCGGAGGAACACCGAUGGCGAAGGCAGCCCCCUGGGCUGACACUGACGCUCAGGCACGAAAGCGUGGGGAGCAAACAGG